rnacentral:rRNA from 1 species
GACGAACGCUGGCGGCGUGCUUAACACAUGCAAGUCGAACGGAAAGGCCCUGCUUUUGUGGGGUGCUCGAGUGGCGAACGGGUGAGUAACACGUGAGUAACCUGCCCUUGACUUUGGGAUAACUUCAGGAAACUGGGGCUAAUACCGGAUAGGAGCUCCUGCUGCAUGGUGGGGGGUGGAAAGUUUCGGCGGUUGGGGAUGGACUCGCGGCUUAUCAGCUUGUUGGUGGGGGAGUGGCUUACCAAGGCAUUGACGGGUAGCCGGCCUGAGAGGGUGACCGGCCACAAUAGGACUGAGGUACGGACCAGACUCCUACGGGAGGCAGUAGUGGGGAGUCUUGCACAAUGAGCGGACGCCUGAUGCAGCAACGUCGCGUUCGUGAUGACGGCCUUCGGGUUGUGAACCGCUUUCGCCUGUGACGAAGCGUGAGUGACGGUAAUGGGUAAAGAAGCACCGGCUAACUACGUG